AUUGAACGCUGGCGGCAGGCCUAACACAUGCAAGUCGAACGAGUGGCGGACGGGUGAGUAAUGACUGGGAAACUGCCUGAUGGAGGGGGAUAACUACUGGAAACGGUAGCUAAUACCGCAUACCAUCAGAUGUGCCCAGAUGGGAUUAGCUUGUUGGUGGGGUAAUGGCUCACCUAGGCGACGAUCCCUAGCUGGUCUGAGAGGAUGACCGCCCAGCUGGGAACUGGGCCCCGGGCCUGACUCUGACGGGAGGCAGCAGUGGUGAAUCUUGCACAAUGGGCGCAAGCCUGAUGCAGCCAUGCCGCGUGUGUGAAGAAGGCCUUCGGGUUGUAAAGCACUUUCAGCGAGGAGGCGUUACUCGCAGAGGAAGCACCGGCUAACUCCGUGCCAGCAGCCGCGGUAAUUC
rnacentral:rRNA from 1 species